rnacentral:rRNA from 1 species
GACGAACGCUGGCGGCGUGCUUAACACAUGCAAGUCGAACGAUGAAGCCGGAGCUUGCUCUGGUGAAUUAGUGGCGAACGGGUGAGUAACACGUGAGUAACCUGCCCUUGACUCUGGGAUAACUGCGGGAAACUGUAGCUAAUACCGGAUACGACCCUCGGAGGCAUCUCCUGGGGGUGGAAAGAAUUUCGGUCAAGGAUGGACUCGCGGCCUAUCAGCUAGUUGGUGAGGUAAAGGCUCACCAAGGCGACGACGGGUAGCCGGCCUGAGAAGGUGACCGGCCACACGGGGACUGAGACACGGCCCAGACUCCUACGGGAGGCAGCAGUGGGGAAUAUUGCACAAUGGGCGCAAGCCUGAAGCAGCAACGCCGCGUGAGGGAUGACGGCCUUCGGGUUGUAAACCUCUUUUAGCAGGGAAGAAGCGAAAGUGACGGUACCUGCAGAAAAAGCACCGGCUAACUACGUGCCAGCAGCCGCAGUAA